GCCAUAGCUCAGACAUAGAGCAUCUGCUUUGCAUUCAGAAGGUCCCAGGUUCAAUCCUCGGCAACUGCA